rnacentral:lncRNA from 10 species
CUACACAACACUAUUGAAGGUCAUAGCUCAAGAACUCAGGCCCACGAAAAACAGUGAAACUUAAUCAUAUUAUAUGACACUUCUCCUGCCCCCCAACAGAUUACAACUGAUAGAGUUACAAAAUAUAGACUCUAUUUAAGGAGUUCUUAGGUAAACCUCAAAACAACAAGAGAGGAGCAAACAAACAAACAAGGAACCUCAGCAUCUGGCAUCAGCAAACACAAAACACAACCCAGCUCGUUGGCAGAUUAACAUGAAAUCUCACUCAAAAGGCCUGGACCCUUCAGCUCCUAUUGCCAGAGACAGCACUUACAGCUUUCAGCAAAACAUUGUAAGACAUGCCAACAGGCAUGGAAAAGCGCAGUAAGAAGAAGGAGAGCAAGCACCAAAACCCAACUCAGAUAUGGCACAGAUGUCGGUAUCAUCAGACGGUGAAUUUAAAAUAACUAUGAUUGAAACAUUACGGGCUCUAGCAGAGGAAGGAUGCAACACGCGAGAACAGGGUCAUCAAAAACAAGGAAAACCUAAAAAACUGGCAGAGCCAAGACAGCCCAAGGCAACAUGAUGACUAAAAGUAAUGUGGGAUCCUGGAAGAGAAAAGGAAUGUCCGUGAACAACUCGAAAAUCUGAAUAAGGAAGCCAGAGAAAGAAAAGUAACGGAAGCCUAGAGCAAGCAGAAAAUGAAUAAAUAACAAAAAAUACAGCAGAAAUCAAUGCAUUUUAAAAAUUAGAAAACAACAGAGAAAAUCAAUGAAACCAAAAAUAGAUUUUUAAAAAAAAUCAAUCAAGUUGAAAACCUCUAGCUAGUCCAACCAAGAAAAUAAGGGAGAAGAUGCAAAUUACUAAUAUCAGAAACGGGAGAGCUCUAUCUCUGCAGGGUCCUGUGAGCGUUAAAAUGGAAUAUGAUGAAGAACUGAUUCCACACCUGCAAAUGUGGUAACUUAAAUACAGUGGACCAAAUCCUUAAGUCUACAAACUAUCAAAAUUCACACAUGGAGAGACAGAGAGCUUGAAUGGCUUUAUAUCCAUAAAUGAAAUUGAAUCAGUCAUUAAUAGCCUUCCAGAAAACGAAGCCUCAGGCCCAGAUGUUUCACUGGUGAAUCCUAUCAACCUUUUAAGGAAGAAAUUAUACCAAUUCUUCACAUUUCUGCCAGAAACUAAAAGCAGACAAAACACUUCCAAACUCAUUCUACAAAGUCAGCAUUACACUAAUAGCAAACCAGUUAAAGACGUUAGAGAAAGGAAAAUUAUACACAAAUCUCACUGAAAAGCACAGAUGCAAAUAAACCUAACAAGAUAUUAGUGAAAAGCAUCCAGCAGUGUGUAAAAUGAAUGAUAGGCCACAGUGAAGUGGGUCUUACUCCAGGCAUGAAUUAUAUUCCUUUUUCAAAGUUCCUCACCACCUUGUUGACUUUCUGAACCUGUUAAUAAUUUGUGGUUUCUAUUGUACACAGCUGUUGUCCCUGUCUUCAGAGGGAUUGAUGGAUCAAUUGAGUUGGCCCGCCAUAACCAGAAGCAGACUCUUUGGUCUGUCUUUAUUCCACUUUGAAUUUCCCAGCAUGUGGCAAAUUACUGGGUACUCAGCAGGGAUUCAUUAAAUAUUAGGAUGAACCUGUAGGCGACAAGCAAAACCAAAGUGUGGAGCCUCCCUACCCGAAAGAAGCACCUGGCAGCGCCAGCCUCAAGCCAGGACCCCCUCGGCACAGCAACACGACCGGCUCCCACCCGCCAGCCUGCAUUUGAGCCUGGCUGAGAGCCGCAGAUAGCCCGCCUUGGUGCAGGCUCACUGCCAUCCGGCAGACGGGGCCUCCAGCAGGCCGCCCAGAGCCCUUGUGGGUGGCGUCCGUGGGUGGAUGAGGAGGCAGGCUCUCCCUCCCAGGCAAUCCCUCCCUGUCCUGAGAUUGGCUCCGGCGACCAUCCCCGGUGCAGGCUGAUGCCUCUGUGUCUUUGCCCGGCUGCCUCUCUUCCUCCUUCAGGAUUCCUCCCCAGCAAUGCAGAAGGGCCCCAUGAGGGCCCACACAGGGCAUCUGCGGUCUGUUGGGCUCAGCCCAGAGCCAGUAGCACCUUGGAAGUCUGUGGUCAAGGUCAGUUCUUCAUUCACCUGCUUGGAAAAGCAGCACUGAGCACCCUCAUGGGGUGCCAGGCCUGGGGCAGCCACUGGGGCACCAGGGAAGCAGCGCCCAUCCCCAGUCUCUGCUCUGGGUCCCUGUAGCAGGUGAUUUGGAAAGUGGGAUGUAUUUGCUAGAGUGAGGGGUCUUUAGCUUAAAGGACGCCUUCCGGGCCCCAUUGUAGAUCCCCAUUCCCCUCAGCCACCGACCACAGUGCCCAGCUUUUGUAUUCCCACUGUUCUCACACACACAAGGCUGAUCUUGUUCACAUGCUUAUUUCUGAGCUUAUUGUCUGUGGUUGCACACACACCCACAUGCAGACACAUGCGCAGACACACGCGCAGACACACGUGCAGACACACAUGCAGACACGCACAGACACACACAUCGCCAGCUACAUUGUGCCGUGAUGCACCCAGGAUAAACCCACUGUCCAGCCCUGCGGUUGUCAUUGGACCAACAAAUUCCACGUCUGAUAAAUAACAUGAAAUGCUGCAGGGUGGACGCCCAAGAUCUGUACCACAGAAUUACUGAUGACAGUGAGAAUUUAAAAAGACCCGAAAUAGCCCGCCAUGGAGGAAUCACUGGCUGCCUUCGGCUGCAUCCACAUCAAAAACACCUUUGUAAAAAGUUGUGCUCACAUCGAAAUAAAUGACGAAACAGAACACAAAAUCUUUAUAUUCAGAGUAUUAUUGUAACGACAAAUACAGGUGUUUAUGACGUUGGCAAUGCUGGGCUGGGACCACAUGGUGCAGCCGUUUGGGGGACAUCUCAGGAGUCGGGUCCCUGCAAUGCUGUCUCAGCUGCACCCCUGACUUGCUGGGGAUUUGGGGAGCCAGGUAGCCUCCCAGAGCCCCCAGGGUGGUGCAUGAAAUAGCAGCAUCUGCCCCAGGGUUGUCCUAGGAGUGAGGAAGACACCAAGUGAGGAAGGCGCCCCACGCAAGGAAAUCAGAGGGAGGCCUGGCGCACGGCGUGCAGUUGGCUCUUUUAUUUUUUAAGACCAAAGAAAAAGUCUAGAAGGAAGACUAUACCCCAAAAAAGUAGAAAUAGUUGUUUUGCUUGAGUAACUAAAUUAGGUAUUAUUUCCUUUUAACUUUUUUCUGUUUUCUGUAACUUGCAUGUUAACACUUUCACAAUUGGAGGGAAAAAUACACCUCUGAGAAAGUGAAGUCAUUCCAGGACAGGCUCACCGAAGUCCUCCAGGGCCAGGCAGCCGCACGGGGAGAAGGCUGGGCUGCAUAGGCAGGGCUGCGGAGCUGAGUGCUCAGAGCCACUCCGGCCUCCUCUUCAGUCUUGUGAGAACCCUUCAGGCCUGGGGCCCCCGGGAGAAGCAAGCACCCCUCCUCUUCAGGUAAAUCCACUUCAAGUCACUUUAUCCCCCUCUCUCUGAGAGCUGAUUGCAGCUGAGAUCGAGCCCUGAGGACGUGCCAGGAUCCUCCAACGCCUUCUAGAACAAACACACCACCCGCUUGGCACUGCCAAACAGCCUCAGAGCCUCAGGGAGGCAGUUGGCUCUGUCGCUCCAGCUCUCUGCAUUUCUUUUGUCUGUUUAAGCCUAAGAAGAUCACCUUCCCCAGACACUGUUCUAAUCACCACUCUUUGGGGCUACUACAGCCCUCCCAGGUGUUGGGCAAACCAUUAUCUUCUUGGGAUCACCCAAUGUGCGGCAUCCUUCCUCCUGCCAUCCUCUAUCUUUGUAGAAUUGGUGACGGGAGCCUGAAAGCCUCCCGGGUCUUCUAGGAGGCUAGGACUGAAGCUCGGUGGCCCAUGCUGCCGUGGAUGACAUUACAAGUGCUGACCUGAAACCUCUGGUGGACCACAGGCAUCCUGGGCAGACGGGGCUGAUAUGUAUGGUUUGGAUGGCCGUCCCCUCCAGAUCACAUGCUGAGAUGUGAUCCCCAGUGUUGGAGGUGGGGCCUGCUGGAAGGUGUUUUGGUCAUGGGGGUGGACCUCUCAUGAAUGGCUUGUAACUGUCCUUCUAGUAGUUAGUGGGUUUUCACGAGAUCUGCUUGUUUACAGUGUGUGGCUUUUCUCCCCCAGCUCUUGUUUCUGACAUGUGAUGUCCCCGCUCCCUCUUUCUUUGCCUUCCACCAUGAUUGUGAGCCUUCCAAGGCCUCCCCGGAAUCAGAGGCCAGCAGGAUGCUUCCUGUACAGCCUGCAGAACCAUGAGCCAAUUAAACCUCUUUCCUUACAAAUUACC